ACGUAGAAUAAUAAUAAUUAUUCUCUUUGGUGAAAUGAGAAAAUAUAAAUUUUGUGUCUAACAUACUGCAUACCUACAUAAUACAAAUUUUAUUUAGAGCGUUUAUAUUUGUUACCUACUUCAUUAUAUAUUUUUUUUGUAGAAGUAUAUAAAAUGAUAUCAACAUAGUUUUAUGUUAACGCCAGAAACACAAUAUUUGUAAAUUAUGGUUCAUUGUUGUAUCUUGGGCUGCCGUAGUCGCAGUCCUAGUGAGGGAAGACAACAACAGAUUUUAUAUACAUUUCACAAAUUUCCCAAGACUGAAAUGCGUGAAUUAUGGAUUAAGGCAACUGGUAGAACUGAUUGGGAACCAAAUAAAUAUAGUAGUAUUUGUUCAAAGCACUUUGACAUUAAGGAUGUUAAAAAAGUAGGACGUUUUACACAUCUCAGUCCUGUCGCAAUUCCAAAAUUGUUUGUGCAUCCCUUGGAAGAAUCUCCUACAUCAUCAACAGAAGAAUGUUGCGAUGACUUUCAAACAGAGCUAAAAGAUGAUCAAAAUCCUCAAGACUUACCUGUUCCUGAUAAUGAAGUCCAAGACAAGAUUAGAUAUAAACCCGUUCCAAUACAUAAGAAGAAAUCAAUUAGUUCCAAAACGAAACGAAAGAAUAUAGCACUGAAAGCCCACAAUUGGCGCUUCACAAACAAAAAUGCAGAACUACUUACAAUUAUCGAAAAUAUACAAUCAAGAUUAACAAAUCACAACCACAAUAAAGACUCACCGGUAACGAAUGAUGUAGAAAAUGACAAAAGUGCUGGUAGCGAUACAAGUUAAGCUUGAAAAUGAUCCUGUGGGAUUUUUGAUUUGUGUCAAUAAGAACUCUAUCUGGAUACUUUAAUAUCUCCAAGCCUUCGUAUCUGUUCAACCUGGACCAUAAGCCAUGUAGUACUUUGCUUUGUUACUGUAUUAAGGCCUUGAAAACAAUUGGCUUUGUCGUUGAUUUAAACUUUCACUUAGUACACCAAUGUUUUGUACGGUGGCAGCUUUUUGAUUGUUAUUGAAUCGGCUGCAAGCAUGCGGUGCACAAAAGAUCUUUAGGCAGUUUAUAAGUUAAGUAAGCCUAAGUAUUGUAUGAAUUAUCAUACACUACUACUUUUAUAUGCUGCUUUCACUGAAGGUGAUAAACACAGAGUCGUCAAAUAUUUUCUUGAAGUGAAAACUUCUUUUAGCGUGGUACACAUAUUUUUAGAUGAGAUAAAAUCUCUGGACUCGCGACACCGUUACGAGACGCAGCUGUAGUCUGUGCAUAAUAUAUGCAUGUAUAUAAUAUAGCAGACCGCGAACUCGUGUAGAUAAAAAAAAUGUAGAUAUAUUAUUGUUAUUUAUUUCCUAUUUUAGUUACCAUGAACCUUUAGUUUCUAUUUUAGAUUGUAAUAACUUUAAUAAUGAUGAUAUAAGAGUUGUCGAAAUGGUUAACAAUGAUUCAUAAAAUAAUAUUAAAUGUAUUUUAAAGUUUCUAAUAAUAAAUAAAAUGAAAUUCAUAACCCUAGUACCCAUCUAAAAAAUAUCUAACGUGCCAAAAUAAGUUUUCACUUCUAUACGAUAAAUGGCAACUUUCGGAUCUAUUGCAUUCUUUAGCAAUCUGUGUUAAAGCACCUUCUGUAGAGCUACCGAAGAUUUAGUGAUUUCCAAUGAAAAUUUUAUCAGAUUUCUUUCUAUAAAUAUCUCUCCUCAACAGUGUAAAAAGUCCGCAAAGAAUAACACAAUGAUUGGUAUAAACGUUUGGCGUAAAGUGAUUUGUAAUAAUUUUGUAAAAAAAUAUACAUAACGCACUUUUCCGUUUAACAGCCCUUGGACCAUCUGCUAUUACUGCCUAUUUUCAUUAUAAACAUUGUUGACAUUUUUUUUUUUUUUAAUGGAAUAGGAGGACAAACGAGCGAAGGAUAAACGAGCUAUUCUCUUGCAACACAAGAGGAAUCACAACAGCGUUGCCGGCCUUUAAGGAAGGUAUAAUAUGUGACCAAUUAUGAUUCGUAAAUGUGUGGUAGUUGUUGGUUAGAGCUAGUGUAAUAUUCAAAAUACUAGGGAGGUAAUUCAACGCGUGGCUGACUGUUUACGACUUGUUAAUCAAAAUAGGUUACAGUAACAAUAGAUUCGCUCUCUUUUUCUAUCUUGCUCUAUCUCAGUGUUUCCCAAAGAUUGUGGUAAUUUUUUUCUUGCUUGCCUUUGACUUGCUUUAAACCCAAGCUGGUUCUUUUAGGUAAAAUUAUAAUCAUCCAUUAGGUAUACUAAAUUAUAAAUUGGUAUCGCUUUAGUAACUAUAUUUUUGUGCGAAGUAUGGAGCACCUGCUUAUUUUUUACUAAAGCAUACAAGUUCGCUGAAAAUGACAAAAGUUUUAUCCUUUGGUAUUUAAAAAAAAGGCGGGAAUGUUGCGACCCGGUAUUUCAUUUUGAACCAGUACCGGGUCGCGACCCGACAAAUUGAAAACGCUGCCUAUCUCCUUUAGAGAUUCGCUCGCACUUCUCGCACGCCUUGUUUGCCUAUAGGCUAGUAUAGGUCUUUGGUCCACACUACCAAUUAGUGGAACCCAUGCUUGUUCAGUGAUGGCCGACAUAAAUAUAAAAACAAAGGUAGUAAGACAUGAGUAGUGUAACACUAUCUAAAAAUGUCUUCUUUCUGAAAUACUUUGGAUAUUUUUACAAGUUUUUGUGACUCAAAAUAAGUUUCUUUGGCGAAUAUUCUUCAUUACUUAGAUGAAAAAAAAGUUUCGGCGAUUUUUGUGAAAUUUAUAUGGUUUAAGAAAGUGUAUAUAGUAUUUUAUUGUAAACAUUAAUUUAUUACACUGAAAGUGGCGUAAAGUAUUUUAGGUAAAAAAUAAACUAUUCACCCCGGUAUGGACUUUAAGCGGAGUUUCUAAAUGCGCGGAAGUAAAAAAUAGGGUCUCAAUGGCGGAAGGUGAGGGGGGGCGAAAUGCGUGAAACCCAUAUAUUCGAUGUAUGAAGUUUUUUUAAUUUACUAUAGCUUGAAGGUACGUACCUAUCGAUUUAGGAAUACUGUGUGGCUGUGGAAAGUAUGAAGGUGAAACGCAGCCGUGGAAAGACAGAAAUCUACGUGGAUUGGAUUUAAUUUAGAAUUUCGAGGUAGUCUUACGCAGUGCCGGAUAGCAAGCGCGGGGCUUUUAACAAAUUCCUUGUUAGAGGCCUUGAUUUGUUCAGGAAAUUGCACGUUGCUUUCUUAUGUCAGAGGAAGAUACUGAUGGGAUGUUUUUUUGGCGGACCCUACUCAGAACACCAAGUGUUUAUUGCUAAUAAUAUUUUUACCAUUAAAACCUUUUAAGCAUAAAGGUAGUUUCUAUAGUAUAUUUCAUUUAAUAAUAUAGGUACUUUUUUUCAUAUUCAAAUAUUUAUAUUCAAAAAUAGGAUGUGAUAUAACUUAUUGAAAGUCCAAAACUACCACCCAUUCUAAAAAGAAUGCCUUAGACCUGACGAAUGGACGCAACAAACUCGGCGGUCUUUUUUCCAUCAAAAAAUAUGUUUACAAAUUAAUAUUGUACAAUUAACCUAAUUAUUUUAUAGCAAUCUGUGGAAUCCACCACCACCACCCACCUUCCUUACCUACUUAAAUUUUUCGUACUAAAUUAUUUAUUGCUUUUCGGACUUUAUUGCUUUGAUAAAUUUAUUCAGGCCGCCAUUAUUUUACGACGCCGCCGAAAAUUUCGGCAUCGGCACACAUAAUUAGUAAUAGUUACCUACCUAAUAUUGGUUAUUAAGUGGGUAGGCGAUGUAUUUAUUUUCUCAAAAUUGAUUCCUUUAGAAUUCUUUUUGUUGUCAUUUCUAAUAUACUAGACACUACUACCGCUUUGGAAACAAAUGGCGCUCUGAGAGAGUAGAAGCGGCGCAAGAAACUCUCAAAGUUUUAUUUAAGUAUAUUAACUUGUACAGGCAUUAGUUUCGUUUACUAUUCAAGAUCCAUGCCGGGGCCAAUUGUAUAAUUUUGUUCUUACUUGUCUUAACUAUAAGAAGCAAUAUGAAUAUAUGUAUUACUAACCGCAUAGCAGAAAUUUAUUUAUAAGUUAUUGUGAAGAUGUGGCGUGCCUUUCAUCACUUUAAAACAUUGUAAAUAUAAAAAUAUUUUAAUAUAGUUAUUGGUUGAUUGA